rnacentral:rRNA from 1 species
CACUCCUACGGGAGGCAGCAGUGGGGAAUAUUGCACAAUGGGCGCAAGCCUGAUGCAGCCAUGCCGCGUGUAUGAAGAAGGCCUUCGGGUUGUAAAGUACUCUCAGCGGGGAGGAAGGCGAUAAGGUUAAUAACCUUGUCGAUUGACGUUACCCGCAGAAGAAGCACCGGCUAACUCCGUGCCAGCAGCCGCGGUAAUACGGAGGGUGCAAGCGUUAAUCGGAAUUACUGGGCGUAAAGCGCACGCAGGCGGUCUGUCAAGUCGGAUGUGAAAUCCCCGGGCUCAACCUGGGAACUGCAUUCGAAACUGGCAGGCUAGAGUCUUGUAGAGGGGGGUAGAAUUCCAGGUGUAGCGGUGAAAUGCGUAGAGAUCUGGAGGAAUACCGGUGGCGAAGGCGGCCCCCUGGACAAAGACUGACGCUCAGGUGCGAAAGCGUGGGGAGCAAACAGGAUUAGAUACCCCAGUAGUCC